GACGAACGCUGGCGGCGUGCUUAACACAUGCAAGUCGAACGGAAAGGCCCUGCUUGCAGGGUACUCGAGUGGCGAACGGGUGAGUAACACGUGGGUGAUCUGCCCUGCACUUCGGGAUAAGCCUGGGAAACUGGGUCUAAUACCGGAUAGUAGCCAUUUUUAGUGUGAUGGUUGGAAAGUUUUUUCGGUGUAGGAUGAGUUCGCGGCCUAUCAGCUUGUUGGUGGGGUAAUGGCCUACCAAGGCGGCGACGGGUAGCCGGCCUGAGAGGGUGGACGGCCACGUUGGGACUGAGAUACGGCACAGACUCCGACGGGAGGCAGCAGUGGGGAAUAUUGCACAGGGGGCGCAAGCCUGAUGCAGCGACGCCGCGGGGGGGAUGACGGGCUUCGGGUUGUAAACUCCUUUCGCUAGGGACGAAGCUUUUUGUGACGGUACCUAGAGAAGAAGCACCGGCUAACUACGUG
rnacentral:rRNA from 1 species